AGAUGCCAGUCCCCAUAUUUAGGGACAUCCGGGAGCAACUAGGGUCUUAGGUACUUGCCGGCAUCGGAGAGAAAUACACUGCCAGCUCGUAUCGCGCGUGCUUCAUCUGGACACGAGGGAAGGUUUUAAGCCUCCAGACACCCUAAAAACACGCUAGAGGCAUCUUGAAUGAGAAUUUGGACAGUUUUGCUAUCUUUCCGCUUCAUGACGGCGUUCGUUUCAACUGCCCUGGGUUUCCAGGGACAUUCCAGAUAUUCCCUAAGUGACGGGGACUUUUCUAGCAUCGAUUUAGCGCUCCUACCCAGACGUUUCUUGACUGCCGGUUGCGGAGGACGCUUCGUGAGCGGCUCAGUAGUUACGCCGACGAUAUGCGUUAGAAACAUCCAUUGGGUUCUAUCACCUUCGGUAGUAUGCGGGACAGUCUAAACUCCGUCUCAUCAGCAAACUCGAAGCUCAUCAACAACGAAAACUAGAUGGAACACGCAACUGCGACAACAAAAGCAAUAUGGCGAAGACCGCGAGGCGUCCUGUGGACCACCGGGAGGAAUGGCGCCGAAAGCGGGGGGCCACCGGGCCCCAGGAGAGGAACGGCAACGACGUGUCCCCCAUUGGGGGCCGUGAACUUCCACGGGCGGCUGUACCAGGCGUGCCCGGGCGCUCGGCGGCCGGUGGUUGGGCAUCGGGUCGGAGGUUUCUCAGGUCAGACGCCCUUCGACCCGGGUUGGACCUUUCGGUCGCCUAGUGCCCGAGCACGCGUGGAAGGCCCCCGCCUCUCGGAAGACGGCUCUGGGGGACGUCCGGGACCCGCCCGGGGGUUCGGCGGGUCGUUGGUCCGGUCUGGGGCCCCAGGUUUUUGAGGUCAGACGCCCUGGGACCUCGGCUGCGAACGGCGGUCCACUUAAGCCCCGAGCUGGGCCCGGGCCGGGGUGGGGGGUGUAGUGGGUCCAGGCGGGCCCCGGGGUUCGGCGGCUGCUGGAAUCAGUCUCGAGUCGGAGGUUUUUGAGGUCAGACGCCCUCCGACUCAGACUGCCGUCCGCCGGUCCCUUGACCCCAGAGCGCGCGUGGACCGUCGAGCGGACCCACUUGGGCAUCCGGGCUCUUCCAUCGGGGCGCCAGAGUGGCCCGGCGCUUCGGCCGCGGUCGGCUCGCGGUCGGGGGCGGGGGUUUUGAGGUCAGACGCCCUCCGUCCCGCACCGUGGAGACGUCGUGCGCCUUGGCGCCGAGCGUCUGUGGACCAACCCCGAGUCUUUGAGGAGCAGGGUUGUCCGGGUCCCUGGCUGUUGGCGCCUCUGGGCGCGCAGCCCGCACGUGCGUGGCCGGUCGCGGCUCGUCCGCUGUGACGGCCGUCGGGGCCUUAGGCUGCGCGUUCGCGCGUGGCCGAGGUGGCCGGCGAGCGGCGCAGUGGACGCGAUUGGCACUAAGAAAGGCGUCCGCCUGUUGGGCGUCCCGCGCCCGGUGUUUGAUCUGGCUGCGACGGGGGCCCUCGGUGGCCGCCCCUUAAUGUCCGGCCAGGCCAGUCUCUGCCCCCUUAGGGUCCCUCCGCGGCGGUCGGUGCCCUCGGGCUGCUGCCGGGACCCGGCGGGGCUUCGCGCUCGCGGGGGGGUUGUGCGGUUCAGCCAGCGCCCGGCAGGCCCCUCGCAGGUCGUCGCUGGAACGUCGAUGCGGGCGUCCUCGGCCGACCCUCCGUGCCCGGUGGAUACAACGGAGCGGCGCGCCCCGGCGGACGCCCGCCACCGAGGGACCUCGCCAAGAUCGUGUGUGUGUGUGUGGUGUGGUGCGUGCCAAUGCGGUGCAGUGCAGUGUUCUCGCGGUCCCCCUCUCUAUCAGUGCGCCGGGCGCUGGCUGGCUCGCACAAGCCUCCCGCGUGGCUCGUUCCCUCGGCCGACCCGAGAGCGCCGCCUGGGGCCGGCACGCUGGCGCCGGGGCCGGUUCGAGCUGGCCUGCGUCUAUUCCAAACCGAGCGUAGGGCCCGUCUUGGGCCGCCGGGUUGCGGGCUCGCUUCGGCGUUCGUGGACGCCCAAAAACGGGGUUCCGCCGCGUCGGCCGCCAAGCAUUGGCGGGCGCCGCCCACGGGCGCUACAGGGCGCUUCCCGAGGGGCCCCCCGCGUCGACUGCCCGAAGACGCCAGAAGACUCCGGACUGCUGAGCCCGCUGGACUACCGGACGUGCUGGACAGGCCGCCCCGCAAGGCGGAUCCUGGUGGAACGAGCUGACAGUGAUGUGUUCGCUGCUUCCACGGCGCUGGACAGAAGCCGCCGACGCGCAGCGAUCCAAGUUUUGCUGCUGCCACGAUCGAAGACCAUCGAAGAUCGAAGACCAUCGGAGGCACCUCGAGACACGUCACUGGUUGCUAGGGAAAGGGGUGGGACGUCAUAGACAUUAAACACGUGUGUUGUGCAAGUGUGUGCUCAUCGCUGGACUCCGGUCUCGAGCCUGUCACCAGGAAGAAGACCGCAAGAACCUUCGGACUUCAGCUACUGCUUGACCGAGGGCCGCAAGAACCUUCGAACUUCGGUCACUGCUUGAAUGAGGGCCAUCGCCUCGGCGACGCCCGUCGUUUCCUCUGGGCGCUGUCUUGCUGAGUGUGGCUGCACCCAGAGCGAGCCAAUAAACCGCAUCUUCCAAACAGAGUCGGGGUGCCCUCUUUGAUGAGUGUCACCUGCCUGCAGCAAGCUGGAGAGCGAGCCAAAUAAACUGCAUGUUCUUCAUCAA
rnacentral:sRNA from 1 species